GGUGACAGAGCCGACCCCGCACGGUGACACACGGAGUGAGCCCCGCAUGGUGACACACGGAGCCAGCCCCGCACGGUGACAGAGCCGACCCCGCACGGUGACACACAGAGCCAGCCCCACACGGUGACACCCGGAGUGAGCCCAGCACGGUGACACACGGAGAAACCCCGCACGGUGACACUUGGAGCCAGCCCCGCAUGGUGACACACGGAGCGAACCCCGCACGGUGACAGAGCCGACCCCGCACGGUGACACACGGAGCCAGCCCCACACGGUGACAGAGCCGACCCCGCACGGUGACACACAGAGCCAGCCCCGCACGGUGACACAAGGAGUGAGCCCCGCACGGUGUCACACGGAGAAAACCCCUCAAGGUGACACACGGAGCCAACCCCGCACGGUGACACACGGAGCCAGCCCCGCAUGGUGACAGAGCAAGCCCCGCACGGUGACACAAGGAGCGAGUCCCGCACGGUGCCCGCACAGCAGCGCCGCGGGACAGCCGGACCGGACCCGGCACGGCCGGGGAGAGCGCUCGGGGAGGUCAGGGGGGCAACCAGCAGGGGACAGGGAUGGCCUGGGACAGGUGACAUGUCACAGUGACACAGGUGAGAGCCAUGGUCCCUGGAACAGGGUGGGGGGUGAGACAGGUCUGGGACAGGUGUCCCCCGUUACAGUGACAGAGGUGAGUGUGAUGGUGCCUGGGACAGGUGUCCCCUGUUACAGUGGCACAGGUGAGCACUAUGGUGCCAAUUUUCCCUGUUACAGGGACACAGGUGAGCCCCAUGGUGUCUGGAAUGGGUGUCACCUGUCACAGUGACACAGGUGAGUGUGAUAGUGCCUGGAAUGGGUGUCACCUGUCACAGUGACACCGGUGAGAGCCAUGGUGCCAAUUUCCCCUGUUACAAUGACACAGGCAAGUGUGGUGGUGCCUGGCACUGAUGUCCCCUGUUACAAUGGCAGAGGUGAGUGCAAUCAUGCCAAUGUCCCUGUUGUACUGGCACAGGUGAGUGUGAUGUGCCUGGAAUGGAUGUCCCCUGUUACAAUGACACAGGUGAGUGUGAUGUGCCUUGCACCAAUGUCCCCCCUUUACAACGACACAGGUGAGUGCAGUGGUGCCAGUUUCCCCUGUUAUGCUGACACAGGUGUGUGCAGUGGUGCCUGGCACUGAUGUCCCCUGCUGUAAUGGCACAGGUGAGUGUGAUGAGGCUGGAGCACAUCCCACUGUUUAAGUGCCCCAGGCAGGGUGGCAGAGAGCAGGAGUGCCUGGGCCAGCCAUGCCCCUUCCAGUGGUCACUGUCACCCCAGCUGGGUGUGCUGAGGUCCAGCAGCAGCCCUCGACAGGGUGAGGGGCUGGGCCAGGGAGCAUCCAGGGGCUCAGUUUGCAGCUGGAGGAGAUGGGGCAGGGCGGCAGGUAAAACUUUGUAAGAGCUGGGUGUAAAACUUUUCAGGUAAAUCUUCUGCAUGUAAAACCAAGGUGUCCACCCAGGAUCAGGCUGUGGCAGCACUGGGGAACAUCACAGGGUCACAGAAUCAAUUAGGGUGGAAAAGACCUCUGAGAUCAUCAAGGACAGCCUUUGACCGAUCACCUUGUCAACCCGACCGGAGCACUGGGUGCCACACCCUUAAACGCCUCUUAAAGUCCUUCCUUAAACUCCUCCAGGGACGGUAACUCCACCUCCCUGGGAGUGCCUUCCAGUGUUUCAUCAUCCUUUCCGUGAUGAAAUUCCUCCCGAUGGCGCCGGGAGACUGAGGGGGUUGUGUGUGUGAGAUGUUCUUACAGCCUUUGUCUUCUUCCAAGAACUGCAUCCUGCAUUUUAUGCCGUUGUUGGUCAGUGAGUUGAACUGAUGUGACAUGUCAGGAGAUUUUUAUGAUGAGCUUAAAUUGUAAAAAAGGAAUGUAAAACUUCCCUAAACUGUAUUUCCUAUAAGCACAGUAACAGUAGCAAGUAGAAAUUAAUGUCACAGUGACUCAAAAUGGAAAGGUUCAGCAAAGGGAAAUGAAUGAUUCAGUUUGGAGAAUAGUGAGAAAUUUCUGAAAAUAAAUUUUAAAAACUUGGCUUUAUUAGAAAAAGUAUUGCCCAGACUUGUUAAAAGAAAUAGCCAUGAAAGCUGUGGGAAGAGGGUCUUUUGACCAGUUAUAUUUUUUUUUGUUACUAUUUCCUCGACUUUACAAACCUUCUUCUUUAAAGUCUAAAACUUCACACUCUUGUUCCACUGACUUAAAUAACAAUAUUCUUGAAAUGCCUUCCAUACAGGUGUGUCUCAAUAAAGCUAGAGAGAAAAAAAAAAAGGGAUAAAUAACAUCUGAUGAGCACAUUCCCUCUCUGGUUGCCCAAGCAGGAGAAACGCCAAAGGUUAAAAUGAAUUUUCAACAUGAAUUAAUCAAGAUGACACUUCAUAAAAACACUUUGGAAAGGAUAAUUGCUGCUUUUAGAACUUUAACAAAGCUGUCAUUUGGCACUGCUGAGAAGAGAUUGUCCUCUCUACACUGAGGGGAUGGGCAUGAACCAAUGAAGAGCAGUCAGAGACAUGACAGUGCCAAGCUGUGUUAGAGAAGACAGCACCUGCAUUGACAUUUUAUUAAUUAUUAAUUACUGACCUUGUCGGCUCCUUCCUUCCUUUGGCCUUCCUGAUGAACCACGGUGUUGGGAUGAGUAAAACUUUGGGAUGGGAUGGAGUGGGGUAGGAUGGAGUGGGAUGAGGUGGAAUGGGAUGAGAUGUGGUCCCCAGUGUGCAUGCACAAGGUUACCCAUGCUCAUGAUGUUUUAAAGACCAGGUCCUUACUUUUCCAGCCUGAUUUCAAUGGUAAAGCAUCUUGGUCACUUUGUGAAUCACCAGGCAAGUCCUGCUUCCCACUCCCUUUCCCCAAGACACUUCUUUCCAAUUUUUCCUUUUUCUUCUGCCAGUGAGUAGGAGGAUUUUCACCCUUCCCCCCCCACCCAGCCCUUCCAAACCCAUUUCUGGAUGGUGUGUACACUGUGAACUCCUAAGCAACCCCCCCGUUUUUGUUCUGGGGUGUGUGAGGCUGGAACAUAUGUCUGCACAGCUUGUGUGCCAUCCCACAUGAGGAGCUCUGAGGGAAAUGGACUUCCUGGGAUUCACUCAGGGAAACCUUCUGUCCCUGCCACUGGGGCCACACGGGUAAUUUCUGUUUCCCCUGCAGGAGAAUGGGACAAAUUGUCACGAUGGGAAUGGCUUCAGACUGAAAGAGCUGGUUUAGAUGGGAUAUUAGGAAGAAAUUCUUCCCUGGGAUGGGGGGGAGGCCCUGGCACAGGGUGCCCAGAGAAGCUGUGGCUGCCCCUGUGUGGGAAAUUUGUAGAAAAUUCUCAAAGACAGAAGGCUCACACAGUGUGCAUCUGUAUGCAAACUUUAGGAUAAGAAGUGCUGACUUAAAAAUACCAUAGAGUAGGACAAACAUUGUUGAGAGGAAAACAGAACUAGAAACAAGUUUCAAAGGAAAGGCUCACAAAAAAGCCUAGAUACUUCAGAGAAACAGAACUGUGAAAGAUGCAUUGCAGUGGGACCCACCAGGGGUAAUUUUAGAUAACUGGCUUUAAGGCAUUUACAGCAUGGAGUGGCUAAAGCUGGUAGGCCAAGAAAUGCUGAUAAUCUACUGUAAUUAAGAAAUAGUCAAUUUCUGGUUGUAAUAGUAUGAAUUAUACCACCUGUAUUGUCUCACCCUUCACAUGAGACUGAAAAUAAAAGUUUUUAAAAUGCCUCUCA